GUCUUUUGUCAGGAGAUGAGUUACUGAGGAUUGGGGGUCUUUGGAGCUCUUGGACCUGAAGAACGAUUAAGUUUUUCUCCCUUCAGAGAGCCAAGACAGGUUCUCAACCUGUAGCCCAGGCUGGAGUGCAGUGGCGCGAUCAUAGCUAACUGCAGCCUGGAACCCCUGGGCUCAAGCGAUCCUCCCGCCUCAGCCCCCCGUGGAGCUGGGACUACAAGUGCACACCACCACGCCUGGCUAAUUUUUAUUUUUUGGUAGAGACAGGGUCUUGCUGUGUUGCUUAGGCUGGUCUUGAACUCCUGGGCUCAAGCGAUCGUCCCUCUUUGGCCUCUCAAAGCCCUCAGAUUACAGGUGUGAGCCACUGUGCCUGGCUAAUUUUUAUAUUUUUUGUAAAGAUGAGGUUUUCCUAUGUUGUCCAGGCUGGUCUUGAACCCCUGGGCUCAAGCAAUCCUCUAGCCUCUGCUUCCCAAAGCGAUGUGAGCUCCCCCCCGCCGCCGCCCAGCGCCAUGCCAGGCCAACCAAGGGCUUGUCUCCUUCCCUUUGGUAUUGUAAGGUGAGGUUUAUGUAGGUAUACUUGUCAAACUCUCAAUUUCAGACCCGCUGUGAUCUUUUUGAGACGGAGCCUUUCUCUGUCGCCCAAGCUGGAGUGCAGUGGCGCGAUCUCGGCUCACUGUAACCUCCGCCUCCCGGGUUCAAGCGAUUCUCCUGCCUCAGCCUCCCGAGUAGCUGGGACUACAGCUGCGCGCCACCAUGCCCGGCUAAUUUUUGUAUUUUUAGUAUAGACGGGGUUUUGCAAUGUUGGCGACGCUGGUGUCGAACUCCUGACUUCAGGUGAUCCCGCCUGCCUCAGCCUCCCAAAGUGCUAGGGUUACAGGCGUGAGCCACCAUGCCCUGCCAGACCCGCUAUGUUCUUUGGAGUUAGUGCAGAGUUCCCCAACUCCUUGGCUGCUGACGGGUGUUGGUCUGUUGCCUGUUAGGAACCCAUUGGCACAUGAGGUGAGCAGGGCGAGCCAACGAAGUGUCAUCUGUAUUUACAGCCGCUCCCCAUCUCUGGCAUUACGGCCUGAGCUCUGCCUCCUGUCCAAUCAGUGGGGGCAUUAGAGUCUCAUAGGAAAGUGAACCCUAUUG
rnacentral:lncRNA from 1 species